rnacentral:rRNA from 1 species
GACGAACGCUGGCGGCGUGCUUAACACAUGCAAGUCGAACGGAAAGGCCCUGCUUUUGUGGGGUGCUCGAGUGGCGAACGGGUGAGUAACACGUGAGUAACCUGCCCUUGACUUUGGGAUAACUUCAGGAAACUGGGGCUAAUACCGGAUAGGAGCUCCUGCUGCAUGGUGGGGGUUGGAAAGUUUCGGCGGUUGGGGAUGGACUCGCGGCUUAUCAGCUUGUUGGUGGGGUAGUGGCUUACCAAGGCUUUGACGGGUAGCCGGCCUGAGAGGGUGACCGGCCACAUUGGGACUGAGAGACGGCGCAGACUCCUACGGGAGGCAGCAGGGGGGAAUAUUGCACAGUGGGCGGAAGCCUGAUGCAGCAACGCCGCGUGCGGGAUGACGGCCUUCGGGUUGUAAACCGCUUUCGCCUGUGACGAAGCGUGAGUGACGGUAAUGGGUAAAGAAGCACCGGCUAACUACGUG